rnacentral:rRNA from 1 species
AACGUAGGGGGCAAGCGUUGUCCGGAAUCAUUGGGCGUAAAGAGCUCGUAGGCGGCUUGGCAAGCCGGGUGUGAAAACUCCAGGCUCAACCUGGAGACGCCACCCGGGACUGCUAUGGCUAGAGUCCGGUAGGGGAUCACGGAAUUCCUGGUGUAGCGGUGAAAUGCGCAGAUAUCAGGAGGAACACCGGUGGCGAAGGCGGUGAUCUGGGCCGGCACUGACGCUGAGGAGCGAAAGCGUGGGUAGCAAACAGG